CAGUAGCCGCGGGAAUACAGAGGCCUCAAGCGUUGUUCGGAUUCAUUGGGCGUAAAGGGUGCGUAGGUGGCUUGGUAAGUUGAAGGUGAAAUCUCGGGGCUUAACCCCGAAACUGCCUUCAAUACUGCUAGGCUCGAGGACUGUAGAGGAGAAUGGAAUUCACGGUGUAGCAGUGAAAUGCGUAGAUAUCGUGAGGAAGACCAGUGGCGAAGGCGAUUCUCUGGGCAGUUCCUGACACUGAGGCACGAAGGCCAGGGGAGCAAACGGGAUUAGAUACCCGCUAGUCCCUGUCUCUUAUACC
rnacentral:rRNA from 1 species